UACGUAGGGCGCAAGCGUUGUCCGGAUUUAUUGGGCGUAAAGAGCUCGUAGGCGGCUUGUCACGUCGGGUGUGAAAGCCCGGGGCUUAACCCCGGGCCUGCAUUCGAUACGGGCUGGCUAGAGUGUGGUAGGGGAGAUCGGAAUUCCUGGUGUAGCGGUGAAAUGCGCAGAUAUCAGGAGGAACACCGGUGGCGAAGGCGGAUCUCUGGGCCGUUACUGACGCUGAGGAGCGAAAGCGUGGGGAGCGAACAGG
rnacentral:rRNA from 1 species